AAAUUGAAGAGUUUGAUCAUGGCUCAGAUUGAACGCUGGCGGCAGGCCUAACACAUGCAAGUCGAACGGUAACAGGAAGCAGCUUGCUGCUUUGCUGACGAGUGGCGGACGGGUGAGUAAUGUCUGGGAAACUGCCCGCUGGAUGGGGAUAACUACUGGAAACGGUUGCUAAUACCGCAUAAUGUCGCAAGACCAAAGAGGGGGACCUUCGGGCCUCUUGCCAUCAGAUGUGCCCAGAUGGGAUUAGCUUGUUGGUGAGGUAACGG
rnacentral:rRNA from 1 species